ensembl:lncRNA histone deacetylase 4-like
GUGGGGUCAGAGGAUGCUCUGAGUACUGUUCAGUUUGUUGAGUCUCUGUUCUCUCUUUCCGCAGUUGAUGUGAGUGCGGUGCUGCCACUGCAAGUGCCGCCUUCUGCCAUCCCCAUGGACCUGCGUGUGGAUCACCAGUUCGCCCUGGCGCCGACGGACCCGGCCCAGCGCGAGCAGCAGCUGCAGCAGGAGCUUCUGGCCCUCAAGCAGAAACAGCAGAUACAGAGGCAGAUCCUGAUCGCAGAGUUUCAGCGGCAGCACGAGCAGCUCUCACGCCAGCAUGAAGCGCAGCUGCAGGAGCACGUCAAGCAUCAGCAGGACCUCCUGGCCCUGAAACAUCAGCAGGAGCUCCUGGAACACCAGCGGAAGUUGGAGCGCCAUCGUCAGGAGCAGGAGCUGGAGAAACAGCAGCGGGAACAGAAGCUCCAGUUACUCAAAAACAAAGAACGCGGCCAAGAGAGCGCUGUGGCGAGCACUGAGGUGAAGAUGAGGUUGCAGGAGUUCGUCCUCAACAAGAAGAAAGCGCUGGCCCAGAGGAGCCUCAACCACUGCCUGCCCAACGACCCGCGCUACUGGUACGGGAAAACCCAGCACAGCUCCCUGGACCAGAGCUCACCGCCUCAGACAGGGAUUUCCACUUACAACCACCCGGUGCUGGGAAUGUACGACCCCAAAGAUGACUUCCCGCUCCGCAAGACGGCAUCUGAGCCCAACCUGAAGCUGCGAUCCAGGCUGAAGCAGAAAGUUACGGAGCGCAGGAGUAGCCCGCUGCUUCGGAGGAAGGAUGGUCCGAUCACCACUGCAAAGAAGCGCUCUCUGGACAUGGCAGAAUCGGCAUGCAGCAGUGCUCCUGGUUCUGGUCCGAGUUCACCCAACAACAGUUCAAACAAUAUUACCAAUGAGAACGGCAUCGCUGGAUCAAUCUCCAGCAGUCCAGUGGAGCCAUCUUUGGUGCACAGACUCACGGGCAGAGAGGGUCCUGUUAGCCAGCUGUCUCUGUACACAUCGCCCUCCCUUCCCAACAUCACCCUGGGCCUGCCAGCCACCGGCCCCUCCAGCGUGGCAUCUGGCCUACAGGAUGGUGACAGAAUGGCUGUGCCAGGCUUGCAGCCAGGAAUACCCAUAACCACUCCGUUCAUGCCAGGAGCCCACCUGCCUUCUUACCUGGCCGCGUCCACCUUAGAGCGGGAGGGUGGCUCAGCACACAACACUCUCCUGCAGCAUAUGGUACAGAACUCCCUGGUCGCAGGUCAGUUUCCAUGUGUUGUGUCCCCAGGCCUGGGGGGCGUGCCCCUGCAGUCGCAUUCCAUCCACAAGCUCCGGCAGCAUCGGCCCCUCGGACGCACGCAGUCGGCCCCCCUGCCCCAGAAUGCCCAGGCGCUGCAGCAGCUGGUGGUUCAACAGCAACACCAGCAGUUCCUGGAAAAACACAAGCAACAGUUCCAGCAGCAGCAGCUUCACAUCAGCAAGAUGAUGGCUAAGCCGAACGAGCCGGGCCGACAGCAUGAGAGCCACCCGGAGGAGACGGAGGAGGAGCUGCGGGAGCACCAGGGCCUGGGCGACUCCACGGAGGCUCUUCCUCACGGGGUCACCAUCAAACAGGAACCUCCGGAUGAGCAGGAUGAAGAGUUCCAGCAGAGAGAGAUGCAACCCGAGGAAGAGCUGCUCUUCAGACAGCAAGCUCUCCUGUUGGAGCAACAGAGGAUCCAUCAGCUGAGGAACUUUCAGGCAUCCAUGGAAGCGGCCGGUCUGUCUGUGACCUUCCCAGGCCAUCGGCCCCUGUCCAGAGCACAAUCAUCCCCGGCCUCUGCGACCUUUCCCAUUGUGGUGCAGGAACCUCCAGCCAAACCGCGCUUUACCACCGGUCUGGUGUACGACACCCUGAUGCAGAAACACCAGUGCAUGUGUGGAAACAGUAACAACCACCCCGAACACGCCGGGCGCAUCCAGAGCAUCUGGUCACGACUGCAGGAGACGGGACUGCGCGGCCAGUGUGAGUGUAUUCGAGGCAGGAAAGCCACUCUGGAGGAGCUACAGACGGUCCACACUGAGCCUCAUGUGCUGCUUUACGGAACCAACCCUCUCAGACAGAAACUGGACAGUAAGAGCUCAGUGACACCCAUGUUCGUGAGACUGCCGUGCGGAGGAAUCGGGGUUGACAGUGACACUAUCUGGAAUGAAGUUCACUCGUCCAGUGCUGCUCGUCUGGCUGUGGGAUCUGUAGUGGAUCUGGUGUUUAAAGUGGCUUCAGGAGAGCUGAGGAACGGCUUUGCUGUGGUGCGACCUCCAGGACAUCACGCUGAGGAGAGCACUCCCAUGGGAUUUUGCUAUUUCAACUCGGUCGCCAUUGCAGCCAAACUCCUGCAGCAGAGACUCAACGUCAGUAAGAUUCUCAUUGUGGACUGGGAUGUUCACCAUGGAAAUGGGACUCAACAGGCCUUCUACAGUGACCCUAAUGUCCUGUAUGUGUCUCUCCAUCGCUACGAUGAUGGGAACUUCUUCCCUGGCAGCGGAGCCCAUGAUGAGGUGGGCAUCGGGCCAGGCAUGGGCUUUAACGUGAACAUGGCCUUCACCGGAGGUCUGGAGCCGCCCAUGGGAGACGCAGACUAUCUGGCAGCAUUCAGGACGGUGGUGAUGCCAAUUGCGAACGAGUUCGCUCCAGACGUGGUGCUGGUUUCUUCAGGCUUCGACGCUGUGGAGGGGCAUCUGCCACCUCUGGGAGGAUACAAGCUCACGGCCAAAUGUUUCGGCUACCUGACCAAGCAGCUGAUGGGACUGGCCGGCGGCCGGCUGGUGCUCGCGCUGGAGGGGGGUCACGACCUCACCGCUAUUUGCGAUGCCUCUGAAGCAUGUGUUUCUGCUUUGCUUGGAAACGAGUUGGACCCUCUUCCUGAAGACGUGCUACAACAGAGGCCGAACCCCAAUGCCAUUCACUCCAUGGAGAAAGUUCUGGAAGUCCACAGUAAAUACUGGCGCUCGCUGCAGAGAUCUGCCUCGACUCUGGGAUACUCACUGCUGGAGGCUCAGAGAUGUGAAACUGAAGAGGCAGAGACGGUGACCGCCAUGGCCUCCCUGUCUGUGGCCAACAAGCACAUGGGAAAGAGGACAGAGGAGGAGCCUAUGGAAGAGGAACCUCCAUUGUAGAAGGUCCGAUCGACUGCCUUGGUGACCUUCUCGGCUCAGAACCUCUUCAAGUCCUCUGAUGUCGCUCUACUCUCUCUAUCCGUUUCAUUUUUUAUCCCACGAUGUGCGCGCUUUGAGCACGGGAUCUGAAACGGCCUGAAGAAAUCUCUGUGACACCCAGAGCGCGACAAACAUCUCAGCCGUGUUAGUCUGUCUCUGUCCGUGGCAGAACGUCCAGGACUGUUAAACCUGGUCUGUCCGCAGGGACGCUUAACUUUUGAGCAGGACAUAGACUCACGUUUCAUUGUUAGAUGUGAGAGCUGGUGCUUUCGACAAGAACUUUUUCAUUAUUUUCCAGAGCCACUAUAUGACUGAUUUCGGCUGUUACGGCCUACGUUUUUUAUUUGUCGUCUCUCUCUGUUCGUUGUGUCUGUCUUUCUUUUAUUCUUGGAGAAACAAUUGACUCGUUCCUUUCGCAAUUCGAGUUACUGCUUCACGAGGGUGGACGAUGUGAUCGGGAGAGCGAUCGAAGGAUUCUGGGAAGCCCGACGGAGAGUCGACAAUGCGAGUUUGUGCCUUUUUCAAAAGAUGGAUCCAGAAGAACAUUGCCUUAAACUAGUUACAGGAGGGAAGACGUUUCGCCGUCUCGGUAUUUCUUGACACGCGACGGUCAAAGGCUGGCCUGAAGAAUCGAGAAACCCUCAGCAUGUUUACCAGGAACUCCCUGCAGAUAUCUUCAUGUUUCACACACAUUAUGACCUGUUUUCUGUUCCUUCAUUUUUACUGGGCUUGUGUUGGACGUUACAUGACUCUAAGUGUCACUGACUAACAAACUUUAAGGUAGUUGCCAGCGAUCCAAGGGCAAAACGUUCGAUUGAAUUCUCCAGCGCUUUAGACGGCAAGCCAAUGUAGCGUCUCGUUUCAACUCUUAAUGACCAAAUACGCACUUCCUCCUUCUCCGAAAAGUUGGUCAGCAUGCAGCUUUCCAUCUGCCAAAUCGUAGUUUAACAGCGCCAACAAG